rnacentral:rRNA from 1 species
GAGUUUGAUCAUGGCUCAGAUUGAACGCUGGCGGCAGGCCUAACACAUGCAAGUCGAGCGGUAGCACAGAGAGCUUGCUCUCGGGUGACGAGCGGCGGACGGGUGAGUAAUGUCUGGGAAACUGCCUGAUGGAGGGGGAUAACUACUGGAAACGGUAGCUAAUACCGCAUAACGUCGCAAGACCAAAGUGGGGGACCUUCGGGCCUCAUGCCAUCAGAUGUGCCCAGAUGGGAUUAGCUAGUAGGUGGGGUAACGGCUCACCUAGGCGACGAUCCCUAGCUGGUCUGAGAGGAUGACCAGCCACACUGGAACUGAGACACGGUCCAGACUCCUACGGGAGGCAGCAGUGGGGAAUAUUGCACAAUGGGCGCAAGCCUGAUGCAGCCAUGCCGCGUGUGUGAAGAAGGCCUUCGGGUUGUAAAGCACUUUCAGCGGGGAGGAAGGCGUUAAGGUUAAUAACCUUGGCGAUUGACGUUACCCGCAGAAGAAGCACCGGCUAACUCCGUGCCAGCAGCCGCGGUAAUACGGAGGGUGCAAGCGUUAAUCGGAAUUACUGGGCGUAAAGCGCACGCAGGCGGUCUGUCAAGUCGGAUGUGAAAUCCCCGGGCUCAACCUGGGAACUGCAUUCGAAACUGGCAGGCUAGAGUCUUGUAGAGGGGGGUAGAAUUCCAGGUGUAGCGGUGAAAUGCGUAGAGAUCUGGAGGAAUACCGGUGGCGAAGGCGGCCCCCUGGACAAAGACUGACGCUCAGGUGCGAAAGCGUGGGGAGCAAACAGGAUUAGAUACCCUGGUAGUCCACGCCGUAAACGAUGUCGAUUUGGAGGUUGUGCCCUUGAGGCGUGGCUUCCGGAGCUAACGCGUUAAAUCGACCGCCUGGGGAGUACGGCCGCAAGGUUAAAACUCAAAUGAAUUGACGGGGGCCCGCACAAGCGGUGGAGCAUGUGGUUUAAUUCGAUGCAACGCGAAGAACCUUACCUGGUCUUGACAUCCACAGAACUUUCCAGAGAUGGAUUGGUGCCUUCGGGAACUGUGAGACAGGUGCUGCAUGGCUGUCGUCAGCUCGUGUUGUGAAAUGUUGGGUUAAGUCCCGCAACGAGCGCAACCCUUAUCCUUUGUUGCCAGCGGUUAGCCGGGAACUCAAAGGAGACUGCCAGUGAUAAACUGGAGGAAGGUGGGGAUGACGUCAAGUCAUCAUGGCCCUUAUGACCAGGGCUACACACGUGCUACAAUGGCAUAUACAAAGAGAAGCGACCUCGCGAGAGCAAGCGGACCUCAUAAAGUAUGUCGUAGUCCGGAUUGGAGUCUGCAACUCGACUCCAUGAAGUCGGAAUCGCUAGUAAUCGUAGAUCAGAAUGCUACGGUGAAUACGUUCCCGGGCCUUGUACACACCGCCCGUCACACCAUGGGAGUGGGUUGCAAAAGAAGUAGGUAGCUUAACCUUCGGGAGGGCGCUUACCACUUUGUGAUUCAUGACUGGGGUGAAGUCGUAACAAGGUAACCGUAGGGGAACCUGCGGUUGGAUCACC